rnacentral:rRNA from 1 species
UACGUAGGAUGCAAGCAUUAUCCGGAUUUAUUGGGCGUAAAGAGUAUCGUAGGCGGACGUAUGCGUGGCGGGUUUAAGACCGGGGCUCAACCCCGGAACAGCUCGUCAUACGGUAUGUCUAGAGUCUGCUAAAAGGAACUGGAAUUCUCGGUGGAGGGGUGAAAUCCGUAGAUAUCGAGAAGAACGCCAAUGGUGAAGACAGGUUCCUAGGGCAGUACUGACGCUGAUGAACGACAGCUAGGGGAGCGAAAGGG